rnacentral:rRNA from 1 species
GAUCCGGCUGUCGUCGGUCGGCCGCAAGGUCUGUACUCUUCUGGCCGGAUCUCUCCUUCUGGAGGACCAACAUGCCAUUAACUUGGUGUGCUGGCGAUCCAGGACUUUUACCUUGAAAAAAUUAGAGUGUUUAAAGCAGGCUCGCGCUUGAAUACAUUAGCAUGGAAUAAUGAAAUAGGA